GCCAUUUUCCCCCUUUCGGUUAGUCAGCUAGAGUCGAGCGGCUGCUGAGAGGCCUCGGUAUCUCUCUGCGUGUCUGGUGGUGGGGGAAGGGGGACGGCGCAGUUCCCUGCUCCCCCUGUCCAACCGCCCCCCUGUCUCUGGACAUCAGCCCACUGGGGUUAAUUGGCCACCACCAGGGCACGCUGCGCCUUCCUUCCUUGCACACCUCCGCGUCCAGCCCCGUGUGUCUGAGCCUUUGAAUGAGCAAUAUUGCAGCUAGCCCGAUGUCAAAUGUUGCCUCUUCAAGCAGCGGAAGAGGGACAGGGAAAUCAACAAGCUUUACUCCUGAACUGCAAAGUAUGAUGUAAGUAAGCUAUCCAAAUAUCUUGGACUGUUUGUGUUUUCAAUGUGUGUUUUUUGUCAUUCU
rnacentral:lncRNA from 1 species